UUGGGUUUAGAUAAACUCAGGUCAACACAGCUGAUUGUGUAAGCAGUUUGGAUUCAUGCUAGGAUUUAUUGCAUGUGGGUUUUGAAGGUUUCACAUGAAACUACUGUAUUUAAAGAAAAUUUGAGCGGUAAGCCUUGUUGAGUUCAACCAGCCUCUUGCCCGAGUAUUCUAAAUCCCAUGUUGAAAGCAGCUUUAAGAAGCUGCCAGGAGAUAAAAUAAGGCCAGGUAUGAUUCUGUUAGAAGCUUUCUGGAACAAAUAUUCCAUGCCAAAAAUGAAUGAACUUUGAAAGGUAGCAUAUUGAUCAGGCAUGGAAUUCCUGGAAUAAUAGGACACUGAUGGGGAGGAGAAAUAGACAGAUGGACUCCACGCAGGGAGGAAGCAACGGCCUUCGUUUUCACAGCCUUCGUCUGCCCUGCCUCAGUCCAGAGGUAGCAGAUUCAUAUACUCACUGUCAGCUCACUCUGCCUGAGCUUCUGACGUUCAUGUAACAUGGCCCAUGCUGGGCAGACGUCUCCAGACGGAGAACUGAAGGCCCUGAAGAGCCAGUGAUGGCGACGAUAGCAGUAUUGAAAGCUGCUCCUUAUGGAGCACCAGCUGUGUGCCAGCACUGCCAGCUGACGGGAGGAUCAGCUGAGAGGAUGGAUCUGAGUGUGCCAUGAACUAAUGAAACCAGACAAACUCCUCUCCGCUCACUCACCACCCCGAUGGGGACAGCAUCUCUACAGAGACAAAGAGGCCCCAAGGGCAGCAAUGGGGGAUCGGGAAGGCCGGAGAGCUGACAGCACAGCCUCCCUGGGAGCCUGGCUGAGCUGGCUUCCUUACAUCUGAAACCCUCGACGCGAAGCACCUUCUUCCUCCAGACUUCCUCCAAAGUUUGAAACUUGAAAUCUGACCAUCUUUUAAUCAUCUUGAAAUAAAUUUGACUCAAGUC